UUUGACAUCUUGAACCGGAAGUGUUUCUACUUGGACGGUACACUAACAUUUCGGCGUUUAGCUUGUAGUUCAACAAUGCAGCAACGGGAGGAGAAGCAGCUGGAGGCGGCGGUGGAGUCUCUCAUCUCUCGGGUUGCUCACGUGAAAAACGCUCUCCAUAGUUUCAUUUAUAAACUGGAAAAUGAGUACGAGCGAUUAACAUGGUGUUGAGGCUGAUGCUUGGCAUCUGGAAGCUUCAGCUCCCUCCACAGAUGUUCUAUGGGAUUAAGGUCUGGAGACUGGCUAGGCCCCUCCAUCACCUAAAUGUGCUUCUUCUUUGGCCACUCCUGUGUUGCCUUGGCCGUAUGUUCAGGGCCAUUGUCCUGCUGGAAGACCCCUCCAUGACCCAUUACAGUGUACUGGCUGAGGGGAGGAGACUAUCGGUAAAGAUCUUGCGGUACAUGGCCCUGUCCACCCUCUCCUCAAUGCAGGGGUACAACGAGUGGAUAAAGAUUCCAUCCGAACUGACGUCAAUUCGGCGGCGGACCCACAGAAAGUUGCUAUAAGAAACAAUGCCUGACGUGUU